GGCCCCGCACAAGCGGCGGAGCAUGCGGCUUAAUUCGAUGCAACCCGAAGAACCUUACCUGGGUUUGACAUCAUGGGUCUAGCUGUGGAAACACAGUGUGCUUACGCGCCCAUGACAGGUGGUGCAUGGCUGUCGUCAGCUCGUGUCGUGAGAUGUUGGGUUAAGUCCCGCAACGAGCGCAACCCUUGUCCUAUGUUGCCAGCACGUAAUGGUGGGGACUCAUGGGAGACUGCCGGGGACAACUCGGAGGAAGGCGAGGACGAUGUCAAGUCAUCAUGCCCCUUAUAUCCAGGGCUGCACGCAUGCUACAAUGGGCGAUACAAUGGGCUGCGAUCCCGCGAGGGUUAGCCAAUCCCGUAAAGUCGUCCUCAGUUCGGAUUGGAGUCUGCAACUCGACUCCAUGAAGCCGGAGUCGCUAGUAA
rnacentral:rRNA from 1 species